CUGGUGGGUGGGGAAAUUAUGUCGAAUUAUUUCUCUCUCGAGAGGGACAACCACCGUCGCUCCCAAACGCACGUCGACGGAUGGAGCGCGCCAUUUCCCGGUCCUCGCCGCUCGCGAGCAGCCGACCACCAUCCCUCGGCGUCGGCGGAGAGCAGCCGCCUGGAGGAGCUGACGGCGCGGCCGGGCGUGGGCGCUGCCGCGGGGCGCGAGGGGAGGCCCUGCUCAAGGCCCUCCGCCAGGUCAAGAACGAGUUCAUCGGUAACAAGACCAAGAAGCCCGCCCUCCUCCGCAGCGAACGGCCGCCUGCAUCCUUUUCCAUUCCGAUGAUAAGAACCUAAGUGAAGGCUAUUUUUACAGUGAGGCAGUUAUUGGUAACGUGGUCCGACUUUUAUGAGACUCAUCUACAUUGGUUCAGGUAAGUUUGUCUACAUGGACAAUAAAUUUCACUUGUAUUAGAAGUUAGUCUGGCCUCCCUUAUCUUGCCCCGAUGUUGUCACAAAGAACUUGCAAAUUUUUUGGGCAAUUUUUUAUCUUGAGGAAGAAUGGGAUCGUGUAGGAAUAUAUCUGGAUCUUCAGAUAAGGUACACAGAUUAGGUUGCAAUAGAGCUUAAUAUAUCAUCAUUAAAUUAACAAGAAGCUGUAGGUCGAUAUUGGCAGCUUAAUAAGUUGAUGUUAUCAUCAUUAUAAAUGAUAACAGUUCUUAGUUUAACUAAAUUUUUAGCUACAUGUUUACUUGGUUCAAUAUCAAAGGAUGGUAUCUACAUGUUUAUUUGUUUUCCAUAUCGUGUCGCCAAUUCAUUAUUAUUAUUAUAUAAAAGGGAAGCAAGUGUCAUUUGAUUUUACGGAGGGAUAUAGUCCUACUGGUAUUGUGAUUUAUAAUACUAGUUUCUGCUGGUUUUUUGUUGUCAACAUCUCCAUAAUCUAUUUGUUGUACAUCUAAUAUAUUAUUGUGUACAAAAGUGGAUUAAAAAAGACCUGCAUUUCGUAACCUCUUGAUAAUUGUGAUGUGACUCUGUCAAUAAUGUAUUUCUAGAAGAUAAUGUUUUUUUAAAUGUUGUUGUGAGACAGUUGCAGAAUGCAUCAUCUGUAGGAGUAUAUACUCAGGUGUGUGUUCAAUUGUGCCAUCUUUGUCUACUUUUAUAUAACUUCUGCCAAAUUCUUGCUGUUCUCUACCAUCCUGUUUUUUUUUUCCUACUUUUGACGCGGACAUAUCUUCACGCAUGAUCAUUAGUCAUGCAUCAGUGCUAGUGAAAUAAGAAUAUACUAACUUAUAAGUUGUCUAUAUUACUCUGCCAGCUUGAAGCUAUUACUAGAAACCCGUGGCCAAGUUGCUGGAUAUUACUCCCACCAGCUUGAAGUUAUUACUAAAAACUCAUGGCCAUACCUCGCUGAUGGUUUUUUAGACUAAUGGUGCAUAUAAAUGCAAUAUUCCUGGUAUUAAAGUUAAUGAACUUCCUCAGUUUUUCAUGUCUGGCAUUCUAAAUAGGGUUUACAUCUCAGUAGAUUUGACAUCAGGUUUCAAAGAGUCGGAUUGUAAAAAAGCUUUGGAGAAAAAUAUGGACAAACAAUAAUAUAUAAUUAUGUAUUUAAAAUUUAUCUGAAUCUUUAGCCUGUUUUUGGUAAGUGAUGAUUCUGAUGUCCCAUCAAGAGAAAUUUCACCCAGAAGGUGACAUGCUUUGGCUUGUUCAGACAUGAUUCAAAUGUAGUUGUUUUCAAGCAGAACUAAUGAUUUAUGAUUUGCUUAAUAUAUAUGCUUUAUGAUAUAAAACUGUCUUUCAGGGAAUGAUUGUGCUCAAUAACAUUACGGCUGGAAGCGAGUCUGGGAAAGAGUGAUGAAUUAUCUUGUUCUGCCCCGAGAAGAUGGUAACAUUCCCUCACUUGCACCUAAGUUCUCGCAUAGUAAGGACGAUUGGCUUCUCUAUGAUGCUUAGUGAACCUAACAUUCCCAGCUAGUUCUGGUUUAUCCAGUAGGGUCGCAAGUUUCCAAGAAGCAGGGAUGAUUUUUCAGCUAAAAUUCAUGCUUAAUGAUCCCUACUCGGACUGCAAGCUUCAUGUGAGAGCCAUUAUCGAGCAGUGCAUCAGUAUGUUCUGCUUUUGGUGUUGUACACUUGCUUUUGAAUCCCCUCCAAUUGGAAUGCUGUUAUUUGCUUUGCAUUGACGGGUGAGUACACGUUAAAAUAUAUUCUUUCUAGGUUAUCCACUGCUUCGAGGAAUCGUUCGAUGCUCCUUGCGGAGAAAAAGCUGGUGGAUUUUCUUUUCUAUUUUUGUUGUUGUUGUUGUUGUUGUUGUUGUGAUACGCUGUGUAUCGUCACUUGAAAUGCAUUCAAUGAUCCGUUGUCUCUUUUUCUUUUUCAUGUACGAUAACACACUGUAAUGAAUGAAAUCGGAUGUUAAUUCGAAGCUUUGGCCGAACUUA